UACGGGGGGGGCAAGCGUUGUUCGGAAUUACUGGGCGUAAAGGGCUCGUAGGCGGCCAACUAAGUCAGACGUGAAAUCCCUCGGCUUAACCGGGGAACUGCGUCUGAUACUGGAUGGCUUGAGUGUGGGAGAGGGAUGCGGAAUUCCAGGUGUAGCGGUGAAAUGCGUAGAUAUCUGGAGGAACACCGGUGGCGAAGGCGGGUCUCUGGGCAGUAACUGACGCUGAGGAGCGAAAGCGUGGGGAGCGAACAGG
rnacentral:rRNA from 1 species